CCCUUAGCUGUUCUGGGCCGCACGCGCGCUACACUGAUGCAUUCAACGAGUCUAAAACCUGCUCUGAUAGGGGUGGGUAAUCUUUUGAAUGUGCAUCGUGAUUGGGAUAGAUGAUUGCAAUUUUUCAUCUUCAACGAGGAAUGCCUAGUAAACGCAAGUCAUCAGCUUGCAUUGAUUACGUCCCUGCCCUUUGUACACACCGCCCGUCGCUCCUACCGAUUGAAUGAUCCGAUGAAUAUCAUGGAUUGAGGAUGCAAGUAGGUUCGCCUAUCUUCAUCUUCGAGAAGUGAAGUAAAUCUUAUCAUUUAGAGGAAGGAGAAGUCGUAACA
rnacentral:rRNA from 1 species